UAGGGAAUCUUUGGCAAAGGGGGGAACCCUGACCGAGCAACGCCGCGCGAGUGUAGAAGGUUUUCGUUUCGUAAAGCUCUGUUGUUAAGGAAGAACGAGUGUGAGAAUGGAAAGUUCAUACUGUGACGGUACUUAACCAGAAAGGGACGGCUAACUACGUGCCAGCAGCCGCGGUAAUACGUAGGUCGUGCGCGUUGUCCGGCUUUUUUGGGCGUAAAGCGAGCGCAGGCGGUUAGAUAAGUCUGAAGUUAAAGGCAGUGGCUCAAGCAUUGUAGGCUUUAGAAACUGUUUCACUUGUGUGCAGAAGGGGGGGGUAGAAUUCCAUGUGGAGCGGUGAAAUGCGUAGAUAUAUGGAGGAACACCGGUGGCGAAAGCGGCUCUCUGGUCUGUAACUGACGCUGGGGCUCGAGAGCGUGGGGAACAAACAUG
rnacentral:rRNA from 1 species